rnacentral:rRNA from 1 species
CAGGCCUAACACAUGCAAGUCGAACGAGGGCUUCGGCCCUAGUGGCGCACGGGUGAGUAACGCGUGGGAACCUGCCCUGUGGUACGGAAUAACUCCGGGAAACUGGAGCUAAUACCGUAUGUGUCCUGCGGGACAAAGAUUUAUCGCCAUGGGAUGGGCCCGCGUAGAAUUAGCUUGUUGGUGGGGUAACGGCCUACCAAGGCAACGAUCCUUAGCUGGUCUGAGAGGAUGAUCAGCCACACUGGGACUGAGACACGGCCCAGACUCCUACGGGAGGCAGCAGUGGGGAAUAUUGGACAAUGGGCGCAAGCCUGAUCCAGCAAUGCCGCGUGAGUGAUGAAGGCCUUCGGGUUGUAAAGCUCUUUCGCACGCGACGAUGAUGACGGUAGCGUGAGAAGAAGCCCCGGCUAACUUCGUGCCAGCAGCCGCGGUAAU